UAUACCGUGAAACUGCGAAUGGCUCAUUAAAUCAGUUAUCGUUUAUUUGAUAGUACCUUACUACUUGGAUAACCCGUGGUAAUUCUAGAGCUAAUACAUGCUAAAAACCCCAACUUCGGGAGGGGUGUAUUUAUUAGAUAAAAAACCAAUGCCCUUUCGGGGCUCUUUGGUGAUUCAUGAUAACUUAACGGAUCGCAUGGCCUUGCGCCGGCGACGGUUCAUUCAAAUUUCUGCCCUAUCAACUUUCGAUGGUAAGGUAUUGGCUUACCAUGGUUUCAACGGGUAACGGGGAAUUAGGGUUCGAUUCCGGAGAGGGAGCCUGAGAAACGGCUACCACAUCCAAGGAAGGCAGCAGGCGCGCAAAUUACCCAAUCCCGACUCGGGGAGGUAGUGACAAUAAAUACUGAUACAGGGCUCUUUUGGGUCUUGUAAUCGGAAUGAGUACAAUUUAAACCCCUUAACGAGGAACAAUUGGAGGGCAAGUCUGGUGCCAGCAGCCGCGGUAAUUCCAGCUCCAAUAGCGUAUAUUAAAGUUGUUGCAGUUAAAAAGCUCGUAGUUGAACCUUGGGCCUGGCUGGCCGGUCCGCCUCACCGCGUGUACUGGUCCGGCCGGGCCUUUCCUUCUGGAGAGCCGCAUGCCCUUCACUGGGUGUGUCGGGGAACCAGGACUUUUACUUUGAAAAAAUUAGAGUGUUCAAAGCAGGCCUUUGCUCGAAUACGUUAGCAUGGAAUAAUAGAAUAGGACGUGCGGUCCUAUUUUGUUGGUUUCUAGGACCGCCGUAAUGAUUAAUAGGGAUAGUCGGGGGCAUCAGUAUUCAAUUGUCAGAGGUGAAAUUCUUGGAUUUAUUGAAGACUAACUACUGCGAAAGCAUUUGCCAAGGAUGUUUUCAUUAAUCAGUGAACGAAAGUUAGGGGAUCGAAGACGAUCAGAUACCGUCGUAGUCUUAACCGUAAACUAUGCCGACUAGGGAUCGGGCGAUGUUUCUAUCUUGACUCGCUCGGCACCUUACGAGAAAUCAUAAGUU
rnacentral:rRNA from 1 species